GCGGGCGUAGCUCAGUUGGUAGAGCAUCAGCUUCCCAAGCUGAGGGUCGCGGGUUCGACUCCCGUCGCCCGCU
rnacentral:tRNA from 1 species